rnacentral:rRNA from 1 species
UACGUAGGGUGCGAGCGUUGCCCGGAUUUAUUGGGCGUAAAGGGCGCGUAGGCGGUCACGCACGUCCGUUGUGAAAUCGCUCGGCUCAACUGGGCGGGGUCAGCGGAUACGGCGUGGCUGGAGCAAGCUAGGGGGCAAUGGAAUUCCCGGUGUAGUGGCGGAAUGCGUAGAUAUCGGGAGGAACACCAGUGGCGAAGGCGGUUGCCUGGAGCUUUGCUGACGCUGAUGCGCGAAAGCGUGGGGAGCGAUCCGG